rnacentral:rRNA from 1 species
GAUGUAACGGGGCUAAACCAUGCACCGAAGCUGCGGCAGCGAACGUAUCACUUAAAGCGAUUCAGCGGGUUACGAUUGACGGAGCGAAGCGACGUCAAAGCGUAUACAAAGUCGAGUCGGUUUAAGGAUACGUUCGUUGGGUAGGGGAGCGUUCUGUAAGCCUGCGAAGGUGGCCUGUGAGGGUUGCUGGAGGUAUCAGAAGUGCGAAUGCUGACAUAAGUAACGAUAAAGCGGGUGAAAAGCCCGCUCGCCGGAAGACCAAGGGUUCCUGUCCAACGUUAAUCGGGGCAGGGUGAGUCGACCCCUAAGGCGAGGCCGAAAGGCGUAGUCGAUGGGAAACGGGUUAAUAUUCCCGUACUUGGUGUUACUGCGAAGGGGGGACGGAGAAGGCUAUGUUGGCCGGGCGACGGUUGUCCCGGUUUAAGCGUGUAGGCUGGUUUUCCAGGCAAAUCCGGAAAAUCAAGGCUGAGGCGUGACGACGAGGCACUACGGUGCUGAAGCAACAAAUGCCCUGCUUCCAGGAAAAGCCUCUAAGCAUCAGGUAACACGAAAUCGUACCCCAAACCGACACAGGUGGUCAGGUAGAGAAUACCAAGGCGCUUGAGAGAACUCGGGUGAAGGAACUAGGCAAAAUGGUGCCGUAACUUCGGGAGAAGGCACGCUGACACGUAGGUGAAGUGAUUUACUCAUGGAGCUGAAGUCAGUCGAAGAUACCAGCUGGCUGCAACUGUUUAUUAAAAACACAGCACUGUGCAAACACGAAAGUGGACGUAUACGGUGUGACGCCUGCCCGGUGCCGGAAGGUUAAUUGAUGGGGUCAGCGCAAGCGAAGCUCCUGAUCGAAGCCCCGGUAAACGGCGGCCGUAACUAUAACGGUCCUAAGGUAGCGAAAUUCCUUGUCGGGUAAGUUCCGACCUGCACGAAUGGCGUAAUGAUGGCCAGGCUGUCUCCACCCGAGACUCAGUGAAAUUGAACUCGCUGUGAAGAUGCAGUGUACCCGCGGCAAGACGGAAAGACCCCGUGAACCUUUACUAUAGCUUGACACUGAACAUUGAGCCUUGAUGUGUAGGAUAGGUGGGAGGCUUUGAAGUGUGGACGCCAGUCUGCAUGGAGCCGACCUUGAAAUACCACCCUUUAAUGUUUGAUGUUCUAACGUGGACCCGUAAUCCGGGUUGCGGACAGUGUCUGGUGGGUAGUUUGACUGGGGCGGUCUCCUCCUAAAGAGUAACGGAGGAGCACGAAGGUUGGCUAAUCCUGGUCGGACAUCAGGAGGUUAGUGCAAUGGCAUAAGCCAGCUUGACUGCGAGCGUGACGGCGCGAGCAGGUGCGAAAGCAGGUCAUAGUGAUCCGGUGGUUCUGAAUGGAAGGGCCAUCGCUCAACGGAUAAAAGGUACUCCGGGGAUAACAGGCUGAUACCGCCCAAGAGUUCAUAUCGACGGCGGUGUUUGGCACCUCGAUGUCGGCUCAUCACAUCCUGGGGCUGAAGUAGGUCCCAAGGGUAUGGCUGUUCGCCAUUUAAAGUGGUACGCGAGCUGGGUUUAGAACGUCGUGAGACAGUUCGGUCCCUAUCUGCCGUGGGCGCUGGAGAACUGAGGGGGGCUGCUCCUAGUACGAGAGGACCGGAGUGGACGCAUCACUGGUGUUCGGGUUGUCAUGCCAAUGGCACUGCCCGGUAGCUAAAUGCGGAAGAGAUAAGUGCUGAAAGCAUCUAAGCACGAAACUUGCCCCGAGAUGAGUUCUCCCUGAGACUUAGAGUCUCCUGAAGGAACGUUGAAGACGACGACGUUGAUAGGCCGGGUGUGUAAGCGCAGCGAUGCGUUGAGCUAACCGGUACUAAUGAACCGUGAGGCUUAACCUU